UACGGAGGGUGCAAGCGUUAAUCGGAAUUACUGGGCGUAAAGCGUGCGUAGGCGGUUGUCUCAGUCAGAUGUGAGAGCCCCGGGCUUAACCUGGGAAUUGCAUUUGAUACUGGUCAGCUCGAGUACGGGAGAGGGAAGGGGAAUUCCGGGUGUAGCGGUGAAAUGCGUAGAUAUCCGGAGGAACACCAGUGGCGAAGGCGCCUUCCUGGCCUAAGACUGACGCUGAGGUGCGAAAGCGUGGGGAGCAAACGGG
rnacentral:misc_RNA from 1 species